ensembl:miRNA
GUAAGAAAUAGUGUACAGGAAAAUGACCUAUGAAUUAACAGAUAGUAUACUUAAGUUUGUCUGUCAUUUCUGUAGGCCAAUGUUCUGUAUGUCUGCGCUGCU